AUUGAACGCUGGCGGCAGGCCUAACACAUGCAAGUCGAACGAGUGGCGGACGGGUGAGUAAUGUCUGGGAAACUGCCUGAUGGAGGGGGAUAACUACUGGAAACGGUAGCUAAUACCGCAUACCAUCAGAUGUGCCCAGAUGGGAUUAGCUAGUUGGUGGGGUAACGACUCACCAAGGCGACGAUCCCUAGCUGGUCUGAGAGGAUGACCAGCCACACUGGAACUGCUACACUGUCAAGACUCCUACGGGAGGCAGCAGUGGGGAAUAUUGCACAAUAGGCUGAAGCCUGAUGCAGCCAUGCCGCGUGUAUUGAGAAAGCCUUCGAGUUGUAAAGUACUUUCAGCGGGGAGGCGUUACCCGCAGAAGAAGCACCGGCUAACUCCGUGCCAGCCACCGCGGUAAUAC
rnacentral:rRNA from 1 species